UACAGAGAGUGCAAGCGUUAAUCGGAAUUACUGGGCGUAAAGCGCGCGUAGGUGGAGUCUUAAGUCAAAUGUGAAAGCCCUGGGCUUAACCUAGGAACUGCAUUUGAUACUGGGAUUCUUGAGUAUGGUAGAGGGGAGUGGAAUUUCCGGUGUAGCGGUGAAAUGCGUAGAUAUCGGAAAGAACACCAGUGGCGAAGGCGACUCCCUGGACUAAUACUGACACUGAGGUGCGAAAGCGUGGGGAGCAAACAGG
rnacentral:rRNA from 1 species